AACGAACGCUGGCGGCAGGCCUAACACAUGCAAGUCGAGCGCGCCUUCGGGUGAGCGGCGGACGGGUGAGUAACGCGUGGGAAUAUGCCCUUCUCUACGGAAUAGUCCUGGGAAACUGGGGGUAAUACCGUAUACGCCCUUUGGGGGAAAGAUUUAUCGGGGAAGGAUUAGCCCGCGUUGGAUUAGGUAGUUGGUGGGGUCAUGGCCUACCAAGCCGACGAUCCAUAGCUGGUUUGAGAGGAUGAUCAGCCACACUGGGACUGAGACACGGCCCAGACUCCUACGGGAGGCAGCAGUGGGGAAUCUUAGACAAUGGGGGCAACCCUGAUCUAGCCAUGCCGCGUGAGUGAUGAAGGCCUUAGGGUUGUAAAGCUCUUUCAGCUGGGAAGAUAAUGACGGUACCAGCAGAAGAAGCCCCGGCUAACUCCGUG
rnacentral:rRNA from 1 species